UACCCUGCCCGGAUACUCGUUAUGUUAAUUCCUGACAUCAAAAUUGUAAGAAAUGGCUAAAAUAUUCUUCAGCUCAGAGGCUAAAAUUUCAAGUUUCUUAAUAUCUUAACCAUGUAUUUUAUUCAAAAGAAGUGACUGUAAUUAUGUCUAAUUGUAUAUGUUGUAAAAACUUUAUUUUCUACUGUGAAUACACAUUGAUGAAGGUGUA